AAGAAGUAUCAACCGGACGUACGAAGGGUCUACCGUGUUAGAAUCUAACCCACCAACAAGUACCACUAACUCACAAUCCCCACUCAUAGCCCCACGGGAAUCGAUUUCCCAAAACCGACUACCGUAACACGCUGAAAGUCCCGAAAAUCGCACCGGGACUCCGCCGGGGCCCACGAACUGUCCCGGAACACACCGACUGACUACGAGUCACCCGCUGCCACUAAACACCAUUAUCCAUGGGACUAGGCAGCAAACACACCACCUCACAUCGAAACGAUUAUCGUAGGAUAAUCGUUCCGAUCCGGGUUCCCGAAAGUGUCAAUUUCGACACCGGAAC
rnacentral:lncRNA from 1 species